AUKAAGCCAUGCAUGUCUAAGCACACGCCUUUAAACGGUGAAGCCGCGAAUGGCUCGGUAUAACAGCUACGGUUUAUUAGAUUUUAGUUAUCUACUUGGAUAACUGUGGUAAUUCUAGAGCUAAUACAUGCAAGAAAGCUCGGACCUUACGGGAAGAGCGCAUUUAUUAGAUCAAAAUCAAUCGGACUUCGGUUCGUCUUUUGGUGACUCUGAAUAACUAAGUUGAUCGCACAGUCUCGCACUGGCGACGUAUCUUUCAAAUGUCUGCCUUAUCAACUUUCGAUGGUAGGUUAUAUGCCUACCAUGGUUAUAACGGGUAACGGAGAAUAAGGGUUCGACUCCGGAGAGGGAGCCUGAGAAAUGGCUACCACAUCCAAGGAAGGCAGCAGGCGCGCAAAUUACCCAAUCCCAGUACGGGGAGGUAGUGACGAAAAAUAACGAGAUAGUCCACUUUGUGGCCUGUCAUCGGAAUGGGUACAAUCUAAAUCUUUUAACGAGGAUCCAUUAGAGGGCAAGUCUGGUGCCAGCAGCCGCGGUAAUUCCAGCUCUAAUAGCGUAUAUUAAAGUUGUUGUGGUUAAAACGCCCGUAGUUGAUUUUUCGACUCCGGAGGAUGGUAGCUCGAAAGAGUUUAACUGUCUCUUCGAGUCUGAAUUUGAGUUUUCUGCCGAUGCUCUUUACUGAGUGUCGGUAGUGACUUGAACGUUUACUUUGAAAAAAUUAGAGUGCUUAAAGCAAGCUUUACGCUUGAAUAAAGUGCAUGGGAUAAUGGAAUAGGACUUUAGUCUUAUUUUGUUGGUUUUCGAGAUUAAAGUAAUGAUUAAGAGGAACAGACGGGGGCAUUCGUAUUGUUGCGUUAGAGGUGAAAU
rnacentral:rRNA from 1 species